rnacentral:rRNA from 1 species
UUAAAUUGAAGAGUUUGAUCAUGGCUCAGAUUGAACGCUGGCGGCAGGCCUAACACAUGCAAGUCGAACGGUAACAGGAAGCAGCUUGCUGCUUUUCGCUGACGAGUGGCGGACGGGUGAGUAAUGUCUGGGAAACUGCCUGAUGGAGGGGGAUAACUACUGGAAACGGUAGCUAAUACCGCAUAACGUCGCAAGACCAAAGAGGGGGACCUUCGGGCCUCUUGCCAUCGGAUGUGCCCAGAUGGGAUUAGCUUGUUGGUGGGGUAACGGCUCACCAAGGCGACGAUCCCUAGCUGGUCUGAGAGGAUGACCAGCCACACUGGAACUGAGACACGGUCCAGACUCCUACGGGAGGCAGCAGUGGGGAAUAUUGCACAAUGGGCGCAAGCCUGAUGCAGCCAUGCCGCGUGUAUGAAGAAGGCCUUCGGGUUGUAAAGUACUUUCAGCGGGGAGGAAGGGAGUAAAGUUAAUACCUUUGCUCAUUGACGUUACCCGCAGAAGAAGCACCGGCUAACUCCGUGCCAGCAGCCGCGGUAAUACGGAGGGUGCAAGCGUUAAUCGGAAUUACUGGGCGUAAAGCGCACGCAGGCGGUUUGUUAAGUCAGAUGUGAAAUCCCCGGGCUCAACCUGGGAACUGCAUCUGAUACUGGCAAGCUUGAGUCUCGUAGAGGGGGGUAGAAUUCCAGGUGUAGCGGUGAAAUGCGUAGAGAUCUGGAGGAAUACCGGUGGCGAAGGCGGCCCCCUGGACGAAGACUGACGCUCAGGUGCGAAAGCGUGGGGAGCAAACAGGAUUAGAUACCCUGGUAGUCCACGCCGUAAACGAUGUCGACUUGGAGGUUGUGCCCUUGAGGCGUGGCUUCCGGAGCUAACGCGUUAAGUCGACCGCCUGGGGAGUACGGCCGCAAGGUUAAAACUCAAAUGAAUUGACGGGGGCCCGCACAAGCGGUGGAGCAUGUGGUUUAAUUCGAUGCAACGCGAAGAACCUUACCUGGUCUUGACAUCCACGGAAGUUUUCAGAGAUGAGAAUGUGCCUUCGGGAACCGUGAGACAGGUGCUGCAUGGCUGUCGUCAGCUCGUGUUGUGAAAUGUUGGGUUAAGUCCCGCAACGAGCGCAACCCUUAUCCUUUGUUGCCAGCGGUCCGGCCGGGAACUCAAAGGAGACUGCCAGUGAUAAACUGGAGGAAGGUGGGGAUGACGUCAAGUCAUCAUGGCCCUUACGACCAGGGCUACACACGUGCUACAAUGGCGCAUACAAAGAGAAGCGACCUCGCGAGAGCAAGCGGACCUCAUAAAGUGCGUCGUAGUCCGGAUUGGAGUCUGCAACUCGACUCCAUGAAGUCGGAAUCGCUAGUAAUCGUGGAUCAGAAUGCCACGGUGAAUACGUUCCCGGGCCUUGUACACACCGCCCGUCACACCAUGGGAGUGGGUUGCAAAAGAAGUAGGUAGCUUAACCUUCGGGAGGGCGCUUACCACUUUGUGAUUCAUGACUGGGGUGAAGUCGUAACAAGGUAACCGUAGGGGAACCUGCGGUUGGAUCACCUCCUUACCUUAAAGAAGC